GGGGAAAGCAGCAGAAGGGGUGGGACAACUCUAGGAAUAGGUACACACCUGGGAAAUUGGAUCCCUUCUGCUUUUAAAAACAAGUGAUUUAUAGAGUAAGGAUUGAACAUUCAGACAGCUCAGGGAACUUUGAUUUCCAGGAACAAGCUAUAAAAGCCAUUUAGGUUGUCUGAAAAUACUUUGACAUUUCCCUUUCAUAUUUCCAAAGCCAUUUCAAAGGUAAGGUAAUAGGUACUGCAGACCAAUCUUCCUAGGACUGCCACCAGUGAAGGGAAAUGCAGCUAGGAAAAUGAUGACAUGGAUCAAUAGGAUUUUGCCUUUAUCAUAUCUGUUUGACUCUAGAACACAUUUUCCUCUACUGAUCUGUGGCUGGACUACUGCAAAUGCAUGGAUUUUCAUGGGUUUUUACACAGCAAAUCACCCUGCUGCCCCUUGCAACCAGCUGCUGAGGCUGCACUGGGCACCGGCCACCCAUGAGACACAGCUACCCCAGAGCAGCUUUACACAGAGCUCCCUUCUCAGGCAGGGAUGCUCACUGUGUCCCACUGACACUGCCCAGGUGGUGUUGAGGCAAGCAAAAUGUGGAGCAACCCAGGCUGGAACUUUCUGCAGAAAUAGAGGAGAUCAACCCUCACCUGCACUACAAAGCCAGGCCAAUCCAACCCCACUGCUGGCGUGAUCUUUGCAGGUCUGUAAACACAGAGCCAUGACUGGAUACAGGUGUACCAGCUUUGGGCAAAAACUGAGGGUGAUACCUCCACCGGUUCCUUUACAAAUCCCUGCACCUCCCCAGGCAAGCGCAUGGCUUUGACCCUGCUCACUAAUCCCUGCAUACCAGCGGUCUGUGGAGGACUGAGGGCAGUGUUUGAGCACCUCUGGUGCCUGCUAAGUAAAGGCUGAAGUAAAUAAAGGAAGUUGCUGCCCUGCAA